rnacentral:lncRNA from 1 species
CGAAAUGGGAGUGAAAUUCAGGAUUUUAAGUGAUCCAUCUCUGAUUUUGUUUAUCAAAUAUUUUACCAGGGGAUGAAUGGGUUGUCAAGCUGGUCCCUAGACAGUGUAAUUGAGGCAAAUGGCAUAAAUAUGCUGCAUCAAUAUGGUUGCAUGAAUCAAGCCUGGUUAAAAGUGUUCUUUGACAUUAAAAUGAGCCAGCAACAUGGCUGCAGAGAAUUGUAACAGCCAGCAGGCUUUCUGCCUGUCCAUCCUCUC